GCCAAGUGCACUGGUGUGUGCCUAUAGUCCCAGCUAUAGCCCAGGAAUUCUGGGCUAUAGUGCAAUACGCCGAUCGGGUGUUCGCACUAAGUGCGGCAUCGAUAUGGUGACCUCCUGGGGGUGUGGGAGCAUCAGGUUGCCUAAGGAGGGGUGAAUAUAUGGAACAGGUAAGAACUCCCGUGCUGAUCAGGAGUGGGAUUGCAUCUGUGAAUAGCCAUUGCACUCCAGCCUGGGCAACAUAGAAAGAU
ensembl:misc_RNA Metazoa_SRP Metazoan signal recognition particle RNA